rnacentral:lncRNA from 1 species
AAUAAAUAAAAUGCAGACUUAAUAGUGCCAAGGGGAGGAAUGGGAUUCUGUAUUCCUAACAGGCUCCCAAAUGAUGAUGGUGCUGGUCCUUUGCUACACUCUGAGUAGCAAAGGUCUAGAGUACCAUUUCUGAAACCUCACUGUGUUUAAUCACCUGGGGAAAUUUUACAAACAAAAAUGCAGUCGCUCUUCCCGUAGAGUUUCAGUUGUGAUUAGAGAGUAAGACCCAGGCAUCGGUAUUUUGAUUUUAUGUGCAGCUAACCACUGAGUACUGUUAAUACAGAACUUUUCAUCAUAACUAUUAAAAAAUCUUAGGCAAUGGUCCUCAAAGUGUGGGCCGCAGACCAGCAGUAUCAGUAUCACCUGAGAACUGGUCAGAAUCCUAAUUCCUGGGCCCUACCUCAGGCCUACUGAAUCAGAAACUCAGAGGAUGGGGCCCAAAUAUCUGUGUUUUAACAACCUACCGGGUAAUUUUUUUUUUUUUUUUUGAGAGAGAGAGAGUGAGGGUCAGGGGAGGGCGGGGAGGGCAGGCAUUGGGAGAGAAUCUUAAGCAAACUCCCUGCUGAGUGCCAAGACUGAUCUGGGGCUCAUGACCCUGAGAUCAUGACCUAACUGGAAAUCAAGGGUGGGCUGCUUAACCAAUUGAGCCACCCAGAUGCCUCCUACCACGUGAUUCUAAUGCAAAAUCAAGUUUGAGAGUCACUGAUCUAGGGCAGCUGUUUCCAAUUAGAUGUGCACAUUAGAAUCCCCUAGAGAGCAUUUCAAACCUACGGAUGCCCUAGCCCCACCCAGUUCCUGAAUCAGUUGGUCUGGGCUGGAGUCCUGACCUGGGUAUGACUGAAAACAUCCACAGAUGGUGCCUCUAAUAUGUACCCAGACCAAGAACCCCUGAUGUAGGGUAUUAGCCAGAAAACUCCUCUCCUUUUCUCAUUUAUUUAUUCAUUUCUUCCACACAUAUUACAGAGCAACCACCCAGGCUUCACCAUCAAAGAGCUGGGAAGUGGGAAGCAGCAUAAAAUGAGGAGUAAACCAGGUGGACAAGAUGAGCACAUGAUGAGAGCCCAUGAGCAGAGAAGACAAGGCAGCGGGAUAGAUUGGAGACAAAACUGAGGGGAAGAUCACGGCAGGUGCAGAGAUUGGCAGGUUGUGACAAACGCAGCCUGUGGACUAUGGGCAUGCUGCUUUGGAAGACUAUGCAGCAAGUCAGGUAAUGUGCUUGGAAUUGGGGCAAGAGGAUGAGCACUGAUUGCCUUACUCUUGGUCUGUGUUUCACAAUUACACUCUAUGUGUGGUCCUUGUAGGCAUGUGAUUUGGAGGACACAACCCUGUGAGAACAUCAUAGGAGCAGAGUUAUAAAAGCAUAAUGGUAACCCUAAAGAAAAUCAUAAUCAUAAUCACCAAAAACACAUAGUUAAUACCAGUAUCAUAG